CUCUGGAAAGAGUGGCCAUAGAAGGUGAUAGCCCUGUAUCUGAAAGGGCCAUUCCAGUGAAGACGAGUAGGGCGGGGCACGUGAAACCCUGUCUGAACAUGGGGGGACCAUCCUCCAAGGCUAAAUACUACUGACCGACCGAUAGUGAACCAGUACCGUGAGGGAAAGGCGAAAAGAACCCCGGAGAGGGGAGUGAAAUAGAACCUGAAACCGUGUGCGUACAAGCAGUAGGAGCUCCGCAAGGAGUGACUGCGUACCUUUUGUAUAAUGGGUCAGCGACUUACUGUUCGUGGCAAGCUUAACCGUAUAGGGGAGGCGAAGGGAAACCGAGUCUGAUAAGGGCGCAUAGUCGCGGGCAGUAGACCCGAAACCGGGUGAUCUAGUCAUGCCCAGGGUGAAGGUGCGGUAACACGCACUGGAGGCCCGAACCCACUCCCGUUGCAAAGGUAGGGGAUGAGGUGUGAUUAGGAGUGAAAAGCUAAUCGAACCCGGAGAUAGCUGGUUCUCCUCGAAAGCUAUUUAGGUAGCGCCUCAUAUGUAUCCUCUCGGGGGUAGAGCACUGUUAUGGCUAGGGGGUCAUCGCGACUUACCAAACCAUUGCAAACUCCGAAUACCGAGACGGACUGUAUGGGAGACACACGGCGGGUGCUAACGUCCGUCGUGAAAAGGGAAACAACCCAGAC
rnacentral:rRNA from 1 species